CCAGAUUUGAAAAUAUCGUGCAAUGCCGUUAAUAUAAAGGGCAAAAACUGUCCUACUUCCUGGCACCCAUCAACUUCAGAAAAAUAUGCGCCAACAAACCAAUUGGCGUCAAAGUCUUUAGAGUAAUCGGAAUUUGGUAUCAAAUUCCCCAUAAGUGAAAACUGCUAAUUUCUAUAUUUAGAUCGCCUCGCUCCUUGACCACCUAUAUCACUAAUGUCUAGCUUACCUAGA
rnacentral:lncRNA from 1 species